UCAGAGGUGCGGCCUGCAAGAGUAUAUGUGCGGAGAGAAACCUUCUUCUGUGAAACACAUAAAAAGGGUUUGCCGCCGAAGGAAAAUGUAAGGGUUUUUACAUUUUGCCUGGUUCUGCGUUUAAGAGACGCCGGACUGUCAUCACAGGUUUGAUGGAGAGCUG
rnacentral:ncRNA from 1 species